rnacentral:rRNA from 1 species
AAGUCGAACGCGAACGUUUCCUUCGGGAAACUAGUAGAGUGGCGCACGGGUGAGUAACGCGUAAGUAACCUGUCCUCGCAUCUGGGAUAACACAGCGAAAGCUGCGCUAAUACCGGAUACGUCUAAAUCAAUUCUAUUUUUUAUAGAGAAAGGUGGCCUCUGAUUCAAGCUACUGUGCGGGGAGGGGCUUGCGUACCAUUAGCUAGUUGGUAGGGUAACGGCCUACCAAGGCCAUGAUGGUUAGCGGGUCUGAGAGGAUGAUCCGCCACACUGGAACUGGAACACGGACCAGACUCCUACGGGAGGCAGCAGUGAGGAAUAUUGCGCAAUGGGGGCAACCCUGACGCAGCGACGCCGCGUGGAUGAUGAAGGCCUUCGGGUUGUAAAAUCCUGUCAGAUGGGAAGAAGUGCAUCAUGUCUAAUAUAUGUGAUGUUUGACGGUACCAUCAAAGGAAGCACCGGCUAACUCCGUGCCAGCAGCCGCGGUAAUACGGAGGGUGCAAGCGUUGUUCGGAAUUACUGGGCGUAAAGCGCGCGUAGGCGGCUAAACAAGUCAGUUGUGAAAGCCCACGGCUCAACCGUGGAAGUGCAUUUGAAACUGUUUAGCUUGAGUACUGGAGGGGGUAGUGGAAUUCCCGGUGUAGAGGUGAAAUUCGUAGAUAU